UACUACGUGCCUCCUGUUUCGAGAUAUAUCCAGCUGCAGACCAGCAGUCACAGAACCGCAGUCACAGAACCGCAGCCACAGAACCGGAAGUGAGGGGCGGAGUUAUUGACAACGAGAGAGCACGAGACAUAUAAGGAUUCAAAGAGGUGACACAUUACCUGAGCUGCAGCAGUGCAACAAGUGUUACAGCAAUCACCAGCAAUUAGGUAAUUAAUUAAGCCAGCCAAACUGGUCAAGUUAAAAAGUCAUCUUCAAAUCCACUUCAACAUGCAGUUGUCUGUGGAGUACAUCUUGUCUCGGGAGCACCCUUUGAUUUUACAUCUUGUGACAUUCCCAUCAUACGGAGAUGGUGGACUCCAGAUGGUUUUCUCUGAAAGUGCAGAAACCCUACAAGAGGCCCUUCCAAUUGGAUAACAGGCUACGCUUGUGAGACAUCUGCUCAGGGGGCCAGUGGAAGAGCCUCUUUUCCUUAUAAUGGAGGAAGAGGACGAGGAAAAGGCCCUCAACAAUCUCCUGGAACAAUCAGAAGCUUCCAGAGUGUCCUUCAUAUUUCAUCUUGUGUUCAGGGGAGUUAUUUUUGUAGGAUUGUCAUAACAAAAAGGGCCUAAGAGUGAAUUAAUUUGAUACAUUUUAAUUUGAACUCAUGCAAGAUUGUCAC